rnacentral:rRNA from 1 species
AUUGAACGCUGGCGGCAUGCCUUACACAUGCAAGUCGAACGGCAGCACGGGAGCAAUCCUGGUGGCGAGUGGCGAACGGGUGAGUAAUGUAUCGGAACGUACCUUUCAGUGGGGGAUAACGUAGCGAAAGUUACGCUAAUACCGCAUAUUCUGUGAGCAGGAAAGCAGGGGAUCGCAAGACCUUGAGCUGAUUGAGCGGCCGAUAUCAGAUUAGCUAGUUUGUGAGGUAAAGGCUCACCAAGGCGACGAUCUGUAGCGGGUCUGAGAGGAUGAUCCGCCACACUGGAACUGAGACACGGUCCAGACUCCUACGGGAGGCAGCAGUGGGGAAUUUUGGACAAUGGGCGCAAGCCUGAUCCAGCCAUGCCGCGUGAGUGAAGAAGGCCUCGGUUGUAAG